rnacentral:rRNA from 1 species
AUGCCUUCACUUGGCUUGGCUCUCGUGCUGCUGGUCUCUUUGGUCUCUCCGACCAGCUCCUGCACCGAGCAGGAGAAGAGCUCCCUUCUCCAGCUCCUCGCCGGGCUCUCGCAGGACGGCGGCCUCACGACGUCGUGGCAGCACGACACCGACUGCUGCACAUGGGAAGGGAUCACCUGCAACCAAGAUAGGAAGGUCACUGAUGUUUCGUUGGCUUCUCGAGGCCUCGAGGGGCCCAUCUCGCUGUUCCUUGGCAACCUCACCGGACUUUUGCGCCUCAACCUUUCCCGGAACUUGCUGUCUGGUGGCUUGCCACUGGAAUUAGUGUCAUCCAGCAGCAUCCUUGUUCUUGACAUCAGCUUCAACCGCCUCACAGGAGGCCUGAGCGAGCUGCCAUCUUCAACCCCUGCGCGGCCUCUGCAGGUGAUGAAGAGCCUGGUCAUUCUUAAUGCUAGUUCCAACAGAUUUACUGGUCAGAUACCAACUACACAAUGUGUUAGCGCGCCAUCUUUUGUUGUGCUUGAGCUCAGUUUCAACCAACUCAGUGGGAACAUCCCUCCAGGACUCAGUAAUUGCUCGGUGCUGAAAUUGAUUGGUGUUGGCUACAACAACCUCAAUGGCACGCUUCCAAAUGAACUCUUCAACGUAACCACGUUAGAGCACCUCUCGUUGCCUAACAAUAGGUUAGAAGGAGCUCUCGAUGGCAUUAGCAAGCUCACAAAUCUGGUCACCCUUGAUCUUGGCGGGAAUGAGCUCAGCGGCAAUAUUCCAGAGUCUAUAGGUGAUCUGAAGAGAUUGGAGAAGCUGCAUUUGGAACACAACAACAUGUCAGGGGAGCUGCCAGCAGCUCUAGGCAACUGCACAAAAAGCAUAUACUCCUGCAGCAAGCUGACGGCACUACGGCUAUCUUACAAUCCUUUCCAUGGUCAAUUGUCAGAAAAAAUAGGCAAUCUGAAGUCCCUCUUAUUCCUAUCACUUGCUAAUAACUCUCUUACAAAUAUCACAAGAACACUUCAGAUGCUUAGCAGUUCCAGGAGCCUCACCACCCUUUAUAUUGGGUGCAACUUCCUGCAUGAGACCAUGCCAGAGGAUGUCAGCAUUGAUGGUUUUCAGAAUCUCCAGGUUCUUUCUAUAAAUCAUUGUUCAUUGUGUGGAAAAAUACCUGAUUGGCUAUCAAAGCUACCGAAUUUGGGGAUGCUAUUUUUGCAAGGCAAUCAACUAACUGGACCGAUACCUGAAUGGAUCAGCAGCCUAAAUUUUCUCUUCUCUCUAGAUAUAUCAAACAACAGCCUUACAGGGGAAAUUCCAAGGUUCUUAAUGGAGAUGCCAAUGCUAGAAUGA